rnacentral:rRNA from 1 species
UACGAAGGGGCUAGCGUUGCUCGGAAUUACUGGGCGUAAAGGGCGCGUAGGCGGCGCAUUUAGUCAGGCGUGAAAUUCCUGGGCUUAACCUGGGGACUGCGCUUGAUACGGGUGUGCUUGAGGACGGAAGAGGCUCGCGGAAUUCCCAGUGUAGAGGUGAAAUUCGUAGAUAUUGGGAAGAACACCGGUGGCGAAGGCGGCGAGCUGGUCCGUAUCUGACGCUGAGGCGCGACAGCGUGGGGAGCAAACAGG